AACCAUACGACUUUCUCUAUUCUUGGCACUUGUAUUUUUGUGAUAAUUUCAAACAAAAGUGCAUAGUUUCAUAUAGUGUAGAAGUUUGUUUUCUCUGGCUUACACUAAUUCUGUAGCCGUUGCAAAAAAAAAAAGCCAUAUAGCACUCAAGUAUAUUAUCUUUUAUUUUCCCUUGGUAUUUUCUUUUUCACCCAUCUCCGCCGACUGCUGCUCCUCCAUCCUCCUUAUGCUGCCGUCCGAUGUGUUAUCGUCUCGUUGCUUGCCCCAUCACAAUGAUCCCAGCAAAAGCUCAAAUCCCACCUUGCCUCCAAUGGAUUUAUUCAACCCCCUAAUGCCUCCACCCACCUUCUCGCUAUUUUUCUCUCUCUUUCUUUAGACCCUCAUCCACCAGCCCCAACCAUACCCUAUGGCUCCAUCAGCGUGCCGCUGCUCAACGCUGGUCUGGUUACUGUCUCCCACCGCUAGUCUAGAUAUUGCAACCCACUGCUAUUCAAGCCGCUGCCCAUGGCCUUUCCUCCCAACCCACCUCCAUACACUUAAACCCUAUUU
rnacentral:lncRNA from 1 species